rnacentral:rRNA from 1 species
CAGCCGCCGCGGUAAUACGUAGGUGGCAAGCGUUGUCCGGAAUUAUUGGGCGUAAAGGGCUCGCAGGCGGUUUCUUAAGUCUGAUGUGAAAGCCCCCGGCUCAACCGGGGAGGGUCAUUGGAAACUGGGAAACUUGAGUGCAGAAGAGGAGAGUGGAAUUCCACGUGUAGCGGUGAAAUGCGUAGAGAUGUGGAGGAGCACCAGUGGCGAAGGCGACUCUCUGGCCUGUAACUGACGCUGAGGAGCGAAAGCGUGGGGAGCGAACAGGAUUAGAUACCCCUGUAGUCCCUGUCUCUUAUAC